AAGUCGUAACAAGGUUUCCGUAGGUGAACCUGCGGAAGGAUCAUUAUCACGUAUCCACGUAUAAACCAUCGCGAACCUUUCACCUUAGGAGAAAUCAACAGUGGGAAGUAAGCAAUAGGACUCUUUAUUGUGAUUUAUGGUCCGCUUAUUUCUCCGAACCUCGUGUUCGUUGGUUUUUCUUGAAGCGUAUUUUAUAAAUCGCUAUUCAUUAACCAUUUGAACAAACUUUAAACUACGAACUGAUCUAUUUCUUACUCUUCGGAGAAGAAAUUCAUUACGAAACAAAGAACAACUCUUAGCAACGGAUAUCUUGGUUCUC
rnacentral:misc_RNA from 1 species